UGGGGGGGCGUCUAAUGGCAAGACACCAGGUUUUGGUCCUGGGUAUGGAGGUUCGAUUCCUCCCCCCCCAG
rnacentral:tRNA from 1 species